rnacentral:rRNA from 1 species
GACGAACGCUGGCGGCGUGCCUAAUACAUGCAAGUUGAGCGAUGAAGCUUGGUGCUUGCACCAAUUUGAAGAGCAGCGAACGGGUGAGUAACGCGUGGGGAAUCUGCCUUUGAGCGGGGGAUAACAUUUGGAAACGAAUGCUAAUACCGCAUAACAACUUUAAACAUAAGUUUUAAGUUUGAAAGAUGCAAUUGCAUCACUCAAAGAUGAUCCCGCGUUGUAUUAGCUAGUUGGUGAGGUAAAGGCUCACCAAGGCGAUGAUACAUAGCCGACCUGAGAGGGUGAUCGGCCACAUUGGGACUGAGACACGGCCCAAACUCCUACGGGAGGCAGCAGUAGGGAAUCUUCGGCAAUGGACGAAAGUCUGACCGAGCAACGCCGCGUGAGUGAAGAAGGUUUUCGGAUCGUAAAACUCUGUUGGCAGAGAAGAACGUUGGUGAGAGUGGAAAGCUCAUCAAGUGACGGUAACUACCCAGAAAGGGACGGCUAACUACGUG